rnacentral:rRNA from 1 species
CCUACGGGUGGCUGCAGUAAGGAAUAUUGGUCAAUGGAGGAAACUCUGAACCAGCCAUCCCGCGUGAAGGAUGAAGGGGCUCUGCCUUGUAAACUUCUUUUGUCUGGGGCGAAAAAGCUCGAUUUAUCGAGAACUGACGGUACCAGAAGAAUAAGCACCGGCUAACUCCGUGCCAGCAGCCGCGGUAAUACGGAGGGUGCAGGCGUCAUCGGGAAUCACUGGGUUGUAGGCGUGCGAGUAAGUCAGAGGUGAAAGGCUGUGGCUUAACCAUGGAAUUGGCAUGGAUACUGCAGAGCUUGAAUGGGGUUGAGGUUGGCGGAAUGUGACAUGUAGCGGUGAAAUGCUUAGAUAUGUCAUGGAACACCGAUUGCGAAGGCAGCUGACUGGACCUAUAUUGACGCUGAGGCACGAAAGCGUGGGGAGCGAACAGGAUUAGAUACCCCAGUAGUC